rnacentral:rRNA from 1 species
UACGGAGGGGGCGAGCGUUGUCCGAAGUUACUGGGCGUAAAGCGCGUGUAGGCGGGUUGCCAAGUCCGCUGUGAAAGCCCGGUGCUUAACACCGGAUGGUCGGUGGAUACUGGCAGUCUUGAAGUGGCUAGGGGGAGAUGGAAUUACCGGUGUAGCGGUGAAAUGCGUAGAUAUCGGUAGGAACACCAGUGGCGAAGGCGGUCUCCUGGAGCUUACUUGACGCUGAGACGCGAAAGCUGGGGGAGCAAACGG